rnacentral:rRNA from 1 species
UACGUAGGGGGCGAGCGUUGUCCGGAAUCAUUGGGCGUAAAGCGCGUGUAGGCGGCUCGGUAAGUCUGCUGUGAAAGUCCAGGGCUCAACCCUGGGAUGCCGGUGGAUACUGUCGAGCUCGAGUCCGGAAGAGGCGAGUGGAAUUCCUGGUGUAGCGGUGAAAUGCGCAGAUAUCAGGAGGAACACCGAUGGCGAAGGCAGCUCGCUGGGACGGUACUGACGCUGAGACGCGAAAGCGUGGGGAGCAAACAGG